UACGUAGGGGGCAAGCGUUGUCCGGAAUCAUUGGGCGUAAAGAGCGUGUAGGCGGCUUGGUAAGUCCGCUGUGAAAGUCCAGGGCUCAACCCUGGAAUGCCGGUGGAAACUGCCAAGCUAGAGUCCGGAAGAGGCGAGUGGAAUUCCUGGUGGUAGCGGUGAAAUGCGCAGAUAUCGGGAGGAACACCUGUGGCGAAAGCGGCGCACUGGACCAUAACUGACGCUGAGGCGCGAAAGCUAGGGGAGCAAACAGG
rnacentral:rRNA from 1 species